UCGAACGAUGAAGCCCUUCGGGGUGGAUUAGUGGCGAACGGGUGAGUAACACGUGGGCAAUCUGCCCUUCACUCUGGGACAAGCCCUGGAAACGGGGUCUAAUACCGGAUACGACCUGGGAAGGCAUCUUCCCGGGUGGAAAGCUCCGGCGGUGAAGGAUGAGCCCGCGGCCUAUCAGCUUGUUGGUGGGGUAAUGGCCCACCAAGGCGACGACGGGUAGCCGGCCUGAGAGGGCGACCGGCCACACUGGGACUGAGACACGGCCCAGACUCCUACGGGAGGCAGCAGUGGGGAAUAUUGCACAAUGGGCGAAAGCCUGAUGCAGCGACGCCGCGUGAGGGAUGACGGCCUUCGGGUUGUAAACCUCUUUCAGCAGGGAAGAAGCGAGAGUGACGGUACCUGCAGAAGAAGCGCCGGCUAACUACGUGCCAGCAGCCGCGGUAAUACGUAGGGCGCAAGCGUUGUCCGGAAUUAUUGGGCGUAAAGAGCUCGUAGGCGGCUUGUCACGUCGGAUGUGAAAGCCCGAGGCUUAACCUCGGGUCUGCAUUCGAUACGGGCUAGCUAGAGUGUGGUAGGGGAGAUCGGAAUUCCUGGUGUAGCGGUGAAAUGCGCAGAUAUCAGGAGGAACACCGGUGGCGAAGGCGGAUCUCUGGGCCAUUACUGACGCUGAGGAGCGAAAGCGUGGGGAGCGAACACGAUU
rnacentral:rRNA from 1 species